CCAGACUCCUACGGGAGGCAGCAGUGGGGAAUAUUGCACAAUGGGGGAAACCCUGAUGCAGCGACGCCGCGUGAGCGAAGAAGUAUUUCGGUAUGUAAAGCUCUAUCAGCAGGGAAGAAAAAAAUGACGGUACCUGAGUGAGAAGCACCGACUAAAUACGUGCCAGCAGCCGCGGUAAUACGUAUGGUGCAAGCGUUAUCCGGAUUUACUGGGUGUAAAGGGAGCGUAGGCGGCGCGUUAAGUCUGAUGUGAAAACCCGGGGCUCAACCCCGGGACUGCAUUGGAAACUGUCAGGCUAGAGUGUCGGAGAGGCAAGUGGAAUUCCUAGUGUAGCGGUGAAAUGCGUAGAUAUUAGGAGGAACACCGGUGGCGAAGGCGGCCUGCUGGACUGCAACUGACGUUGAGGCCCGAAAGCGUGGGGAGCAAACAGGAUUAGAUACCCCAGUAAA
rnacentral:rRNA from 1 species